CCUACGGGAGGCAGCAGUGAGGAAUAUUGCACAAUGGGGGAAACCCUGAUGCAGCAACGCCGCGUGAGUGAAGAAGUAUCUCGGUAUGUAAAGCUCUAUCAGCAGGGAAGAGAAUGACGGUACCUGACUAAGAAGCCCCGGCUAACUACGUGCCAGCAGCCGCGGUAAUACGUAGGGGGCGAGCGUUAUCCGGAUUUACUGGGUGUAAAGGGAGCGUAGACGGUUCUGCAAGUCUGGAGUGAAAGCCCGGGGCUUAACCGCGGAACGGCUUUGGAAACUGUGGAACUGGAGUGCUGGAGAGGCAAGCGGAAUUCCUAGUGUAGCGGUGAAAUGCGUAGAUAUUAGGAGGAACACCGGUGGCGAAGGCGGCUUGCUGGACAGUAACUGACGUUGAGGCUCGAAAGCGUGGGGAGCAAACAGGAUUAGAUACCCCUGUAGUC
rnacentral:rRNA from 1 species